rnacentral:rRNA from 1 species
UACGGAGGGAGCUAGCGUUGUUCGGAAUUACUGGGCGUAGAGCGCACGUAGGCGGCUUUGUAAGUUAGAGGUGAAAGCCCGGAGCUCAACUCCGGAACUGCCUUUAAGACUGCAUCGCUUGAAUCCAGGAGAGGUGAGUGGAAUUCCGAGUGUAGAGGUGAAAUUCGUAGAUAUUCGGAAGAACACCAGUGGCGAAGGCGGCUCACUGGACUGGUAUUGACGCUGAGGUGCGAAAGCGUGGGGAGCAAACAGG